rnacentral:misc_RNA from 1 species
CCUCAACUGGAGUGGCCUGAUAAGAAAACUGAAUGACAGUACCAGAACCGUCGCUGGGCCUUGGGACCCCUCCUGAUCGCCUUUGGGGUUUUGUCGGGGACAAUAGAAGACCGUUAAACGUGCUAUGGGUUAAGGAUAGAGGCUCGAACCAACCAUGGGAAGCCCUGAAUCGAGGGUAGACGCGAAGCAGCAGGAUCUAAGCCGAUGGACCCGUGAGCAAGAAGAAACUGGUUUACCU